GUCCAGCUCUGUGACACUGAAGGUCACCAGUUCCCUUGCUGGCUUCGACUGAAUGAUUCCCCUGUGAAGUCCCUUGUUUACUGUAUUUGUAAUUAGCCACCAAGAACUUGAGUAACCGGUUUCCGAGGAGAACAUAUAUCCUGAAUCAGUUCCUGGACAUUUGUUUGAGGUCUUGUAAGGGAAACUGAAGGGAAUUGUGUAUUGAACAGGAUGGCUUAGACCUGCUCAACUUCUGAGAAUUGAGGCAAAGUGGGCAAUCCAGAUGUAUCACUUGACUUUCUGACUACUGGAAGAAUUUCCCUUCAUUAUUGCACACCAGGGGUAUCCCACAGGCCAUCCUCGAUAAUGGCUUGGUUUCAUCAUUAAAAUUGUUCUCUUUGAGUCAAGAUAAUAUAGUUCCCAAGAGCUAUGUCAUACCAUCAGAAAAAAGAUAAACUUGGGCCAAACAUGAUGAGUUUCUCCUCAUGAAGUGACAUUUAUUCAUCUGUCAACAUCCUCACAUGGAUAGAACUGCUCAGUUUUCCAGUGGCAAAUGGAAAUGGCUCAUACACUUUAGGACUGCAAGUGAUACUUCUCAUAAAUAUUUAGAAAGACAGACAAGUAGUAAGAACUUUUAAAAUGGAAUGUGGAUGUUGAAGCCUUCCUUCACUUAUCUAG
rnacentral:lncRNA from 1 species